UACGUAGGUGGCAAGCGUUGUCCGGAAUUACUGGGCGUAAAGCGUGCGCAGGCGGUUCGGAAAGAGAGGUGUGAAAUCCCAGGGCUUAACCUUGGAACUGCACUUCUAACUACCGGGCUAGAGUACGUCAGAGGGGGGUAGAAUUCCACGUGUAGCAGUGAAAUGCGUAGAGAUGUGGAGGAAUACCGAUGGCGAAGGCAGCCCCCUGGGAUGAUACUGACGCUCAUGCACGAAAGCGUGGGGAGCAAACAGG
rnacentral:rRNA from 1 species